rnacentral:rRNA from 1 species
GAUGAACGCUGGCGGCGUGCCUAAUACAUGCAAGUCGAGCGAACAGACGAGGAGCUUGCUCCUCUGACGUUAGCGGCGGACGGGUGAGUAACACGUGGAUAACCUACCUAUAAGACUGGGAUAACUUCGGGAAACCGGAGCUAAUACCGGAUAAUAUAUUGAACCGCAUGGUUCAAUAGUGAAAGACGGUUUUGCUGUCACUUAUAGAUGGAUCCGCGCCGCAUUAGCUAGUUGGUAAGGUAACGGCUUACCAAGGCAACGAUGCGUAGCCGACCUGAGAGGGUGAUCGGCCACACUGGGACUGAGACACGGUCCAGACUCCUACGGGAGGCAGCAGUAGGGAAUCUUCCGCAAUGGGCGAAAGCCUGACGGAGCAACACCGCGUGAAUGAUGAAGGUCUUCGGAUCGUAAAACUCUGUUAUUAGGGAAGAACAAAUGUGUAAGUAACUAUGCACGUCUUGACGGUACCUAAUCAGAAAGCCACGGCUAACUACGUG